ACAGCAGCAGUGAUACCAUGAUCAUAAGGAUGGUUUCCCCAGGGGAAGGCUUAUUCAUUGCACUCCAGUUGUGUUGAAUGAACUCUGUGAUGUCCCCAAAUGUGGGAAAGUCAACUGCAUUAUUUCUGGUAGUGGAGAACUGUUUGCUUUCUCCC
rnacentral:snRNA from 1 species